AAUCUUGCGCAAUGGGCGAAAGCCUGACGCAGCCAUGCCGCGUGAAUGAUGAAGGUCUNAGGAUUNUNAAAUUCUUUCACCGGGGNCGAUAAUGACGGUACCCGGAGAAGUAGCCCCGGCUAACUUCGUGCCAGCAGCCGCGGUAAUACGAAGGGGGCUAGCGUUGCUCGGAAUUACUGGGCGUAAAGGGCGCGUAGGCGGAUCGUUAAGUCAAAGGUGAAAUCCCAGGGCUCAACCCUGGAACUGCCUUUGAUACUGGCGAUCUUGAGUAUGAGAGAGGUAUGUGGAACUCCGAGUGUAGAGGUGAAAUUCGUAGAUAUUCGGAAGAACACCAGUGGCGAAGGCGACAUACUGGCUCAUUACUGACGCUGAGGCGCGGAAGCGUGGGGAGCAAACAG
rnacentral:rRNA from 1 species